rnacentral:misc_RNA from 1 species
GUACCCUCAAGCUUUGCUUGGUGUUGGGCGUUUUUGUCUUUGGCCUUAUAGCCUAAAGACUCGCCUUAAAACGAUUGGCAGCCGACCUACUGGUUUCGCAGCGCAGCACAUUUUCGCGCUUGCAAUCAGCAAAAGAGGUUGGCGAUCCAGCACGUCUUUAUUUUCUGAC